UACAGGGGGGGCAAGCGUUGUUCGGAAUUACUGGGCGUAAAGGGCUCGUAGGUGGCCAACUAAGUCGGACGUGAAAUCCCUCAGCUUAACUGGGGAACUGCAUCCGAUACUGGAUGGCUUGAGUUUGGGAGAGGGAUGCGGAAUUCCAGGUGUAGCGGUGAAAUGCGUAGAUAUCUGGAGGAACACCGGUGGCGAAGGCGGCAUCCUGGACCAACACUGACACUGAGUAGCGAAAGCCAGGGGAGCAAACGGG
rnacentral:rRNA from 1 species